GUCAGAAGAGCACGGAACUGGGUGUGCCUGCUGCCUUUGACCUCCCCUACCCCAGCCAACACUCAGCGGCAAAUUCAGACCUAACAAGUAUCAGUGCCUAAGAAUCCUGGUGACAAAAAGCCUGGCAAAUCCAAAACCUCCCCGGUGGCUCCCAGGGCAGGGUCAAAACAGAAAGUACAACCCCGGCAGCUGCGGCCACCACAGAAAGUCAACCAGGGGCUGCAGGUUCCUGCUGUGUCCCUUUACCCUUCUCAGAAGAAAGUCCCCGUAAAGGAUCUUCCACAUUUUGAAGAUGAACAAGUAUCUGCUGUUUAAGGCACAGGCGAGCCACCUACAAGGAGAGCACAAGAAGACGUCUCUAUCAUUGGAGCCUUGGAACUCACAUUCUGAGGAUGGUGGACCAGUUUGCCUCCUU